GACGAACGCUGGCGGCGUGCUUAACACAUGCAAGUCGAACGGGCCUGUCUUCUUUUUUGGGGGUGGGUUGAGUGGCGAACGGGUGAGUAUCACGUGAGUAACCUGCCCUUCGGUCCUGGAUAACCGCUUGAAAGGGCGGCUAAUACGGGGUGGUCCGGUUGGUCCGCAUGGGCUGGUCGGGAUAGAUUCACUGUUUUUGGUGUUUCGGCGGGGGAUGGGCUCGCGGCCUAUCAGCUUGUUGGUGGGGUGAUGGCCUACCAAGGCGGUGACGGGUAGCCGGCCUGAGAGGGUGGGCGGCCACACUGGGACUGAGAUACGGCCCAGACUCCUGCGGGAGGCAGCAGUGGGGGGUAUUGCACAAUGGGCGGAAGCCUGAUGCAGCGACGUCGCGUGAGGGAUGGCGGCCUUCGGGUUGUGAACCUCUGUUUCCGGUGGUGAAGGCCCUGUCCGUGUGGUGGGGUUGACGGUAGCCGGGGAUGAAGCGCCGGCUAACUACGUG
rnacentral:rRNA from 1 species